GCAGGCUGGACGUGUGUUGCUCUCGAUUACGCUACACAAUUUUAAAAUAUUAUUAUUUACGACAUAAUAAUAGUAUAAUAGUUUUAUAUAUCAAAAUUAAGCUUUAGCUGUGAAGAAUACUGCUCAAUUUCGAGUAUCAGAAUUGUAUUCAACGCAGAGGACUGCACAUCAUUCCCAAUUUAAUAAGGAACCGAGAAAACAAACAAUAAAAACAAAAACGACAUCAAAGUCACAUCGCCACCCGAAGUCGGCAUUUACGGAACUACGCCGACUAAAGUCUACGAAUACAAAACUACGCUGCAAGAGUACUUUACGCUAGACUAUCUCGUAAAGGAUAACAUCAUCGAAUACUACUCAAGAAUACGCCCCAAUAUUAAUAUUGCACCAGUACGCUACGCAAAGUCGUUGAAAAAAAAACUACGCCAACCAAAGUCGACGUGUUUGGGACUACGCUGGGCAAAGUAUGGAGAGGAAAAUCUUCAACAAUUAUAUGAAGAAUGUACUACGAAAUUCUAUCGUGGAAUUACUUAUCAAACGUAGUAUGUAUUGUAAUAUAAUUGAUGAAAAAAUCUUUAUUAAACUUAGCAAGUAUAAGCAUAAGCGGGGUGUAAUGUUAUGCUUGCCAAGUUAUAUAAUUCAUGCGAAAAACAUCGAACCACUUAUUAUAUGAUAGAGAUACAUUAAAAAAAAUGUAUUUAAUUAUAAUUCUCACGCAACCACGCUGCGCUCCACGACUAAAAUCAUCGACGUUGGUCAUAAAGCGGCCAGCUUGAAGUGGAACUAGGCUGGUCACGUCUGCCGCAUGUCGGACGAGCGGUGGGCAAAACUCACUACUGAGUGGAGCUCACUCAACGUCCACAGACGUCGCGGCAGGCCCAGAAGGAGAUGGUGGGACGAACUUGACAUCUAUGACAAGGAAAGAGGAACAAUCAUGGCUGAAAUUGAAAUGGAAUUUAGCUAUAAAAAGUAGCAUAAUAAGCUAUGGUGUGUUCUGUAAAUAUGUAUAAUAUAAUUUACUGUAAUAUCAGCUAACGCGGCGAGCGUAAAGUUCGAGUUUAUGCUCGUCGUGGUAUAUGAUUCAUACGAAAUAUAUCGAACGACUUAUUGUAAUAAUUCUCAAGGGAAAUUAAGUUUUUUUAAGUAAAUAAUUAUAUAGUACAUAUUAAUAUAGUAAAUAAGAUUAGCUAAUGCGGCAAGCGUAAAAAUUGUUUAUGCUCGUCGCAUUAUGUAAUUAAAAUAUUAUUUGUUCCCGAUAGAAUCAAUACAGUUGUAAAAAAGUAGUUAAAAUUGUUGUAAAUGUGUAGAUUCAACGCGGCGAGCAUAAAGUUUACAAUUUUAUGCUCGCCGCGUUAUAUAAUUCAUGCGACAUAUAUCGACGCACACAUAUAGGAUACAAGCGUAAUUUUUUAAAAGUAGUAAUAAAUAUUGUCAAUAUGUAAAUAUGUAUAUUUAACGCGGCGAGCAUAAAAUUAAAUUUAUGCUCGCCGCGUUAUAUAAUUCAUGCGACAAACAUCGACACACACAGUAGAACAAGCGUUAUUGUAAAAAUUAGUUAUAAAUGUUGUAAAUAUUAACAAUUAACGCAGCAAGCGUAAUGUUGGUAACUUUAUGCUCGCCACAUUAUAUAAUUCAUGCGCUAGUGUGUAUCGUUAUUGCGAUAGUGUGUAAAUUAAUAAUAUAGUUUACUGUAAUAUUAAUUAACGCGACGAGCAUAAAGUUCGUAAUUUAUGCUCGCCGCGUUAUAUAAUUUAUACGAAAUAUAUCGAACGACUUAUUAUAAUAGUUCUCAAAUAAAAUUAAGUCAAUAGUAAGUCAUGUAAAUAAUUUUAUAGUAUGUAUUUAUAUAGUAAAUUAACGCGGCGAGCGUAAAGCUUAUAAUUUUAUGCUCGCCGCGUUAUAUAAUUUAUGCGAAAAAUAUCGCCGCGCACAGAACAAGCAUAUUAUGCAUAGUUAUAACAAACACAGAUAUUAAUGCAUAUUAAUCCCUUGCAAGAUGAACAGGCUUUAGUACGAGCCAGUAUUUUGGGCACCUUACCUCACGACAACGAGGGAGAGUCUUUUAGAAGAUAAGUUUCAGAUAGUAAUAAGUAUUUUGAAUUAUAAAUUAACGUUACUAUAGUCGAACCCGGCAAGUAUGUGGUUAGGUAAAAUCUUAUGCUUUCCCCGCCUCUGAGACGACGCAAGGGGUAGUCCAACGCCUAACUACCCCGGGCAAGAGAUGAGGUCAGGACGGACCUAGCCGACACUUGAUGUGGGGCUGCGAAAGAAUUUAGAUUCUCGCAGCCCCAUGUUCACGUCCGGAGAAGACACCGGUGGGUUUUAGCCGGUAUUUUUUUUUAUGGAAUAGGAGGCAAACGAGCAAACGAGUCACCUGAUGGUAAGCGAUCAGCGCCGCCCAUGGACACCUGCAACACCAGAGGAGUCACAGGUGCGUUGCCGCCCUUUGAAUCCUAUGAAUCCUGUAUGCCCCUCCUCUUUCCCCAGGUGGAGAAAGUCCAUGAGGAUUUCCCUUAUGCUUGCCGGGUUAGUAUAAUUCUUGCGACAAAGACCGACGAACAUAGCUAGGUGUAAAAAUAACAUCUAUUUCAAUUUGUAAACGGUUUUAUUUAUUUAUUUAUUUCAUUCAAAAAGUUACAACGGUAGACAACCAAUUAAAGCAACUUACAUACAUAAUUAAAACAUAAUUAACAUUUAUUUCGCUUGCCUCGUUUGUUUUGUUUCUGGGGUAAGUUAAAAAUAAAGGCGACAAGUCUUAAGGUACAUCUAAAUUAUGACACUAUACACCGUACACUCAAUGUACAAAUCCAAUGUCUGUUUAUGAACACGAGUGCCUAUAAUUGGAAAAUUUAUGCUCGCCGCGUUAUAUAAUUCAUGCGACAUAUAUCGACACACACAUAUAGAACAAGCAUUUAUUUGUAAAAAUAUCUUAAAGGGUUGUAAAUAUGUACAUUUAACACGGCGAGCGUAAAGUUUUUAAUUUAAUAUUAUUUAAUUUUAUUUAUAAUUUAAUGCACUGGGGAACGUUCCCAGAAGACUGGCCGCAUUGCCACGUUGUAUAGCAAUGCUUAUCUUCUGACCGAAGAAAUAGCCAGCCUUCUGGUCACGCGUAGAAUCGAAUAGCUUAUGUGCAAUUUCUUUAAAUACAGAAUGUGCACCCAUAGCCCAAUUGUUUUAUAUAAAGUUGUAAUAAAUGUUUUCAAUUUGUAAAUAAUUAUGUACAAUUAACGCAGCGAGCGUAAAGUUUAAAACUUAAUGCUCGCCGCGAUAUAUAAUUCAUGCCACAAAUAUGGAAAAACAAUAUAACAAGCAUUUACUGUGUAAAAAUAUAAAAGAGGAUUGUAAAUAUGUAAAUAUGUGCCAAUAACGCGGCGAGCGUAAAGUUCACAAAUUUAUGCUCGCCGCGUUAUAUAAUCCAUGCGACAAAUAUCGAAACACACAAUAGAACAAGCAUUUAUUUGUAAAAAGUAGUAAUUAAUAUUUUGUGUCUUGAUUCUUUGGAUUAUUUUCGUGUUGGAGUCUUGGAGUGUGAAGCUAUUCCCCACAGCUGUAUGUCGUAUGUCCAUACUGGUUUGAAAAUAGAUUUGUGUAGUGAGAUUUUAUGUUCUAAAGAUAGCUGGGACUUCUCCACUGAACUCGCGACUCCAAUGAACCAGUACAAUUAUCGCAACUUUGUAAAAAGGAAAGUAUUGUAAAUAUGUACAAAUAACGCGGCGAGCGUAAAGUUUAUAAUUUUAUGCUCGUCGCGUUAUAUAAUUCAUGCGACAAACAUCGACACACACAGUAGAACAAGCAUUAUUGUAAAAAUUAGUAAUAAACGUACUCAAUCUGUAAAUAUGUAAAUAUGUGCCAAUAACGCGGCGAGCAUAAAGAUCAUAACUUAAUCUUAAUGCUCGCCGCGUUAUAUAAUCCAUGCAACAUAUAUCGACACACACACAUAGAACAAGCAUUUAUUUGUAAAAAAUAUCUUAGAGGGUUGUAAAUAUAUAGCCAGAAGUCUGGAUUAUCUUUUGACUGAAGAAAUAGCCAGCCUUCUGGUCACGUGUAGAAUCGAAUAGCUUACGUGCAAUCUCUUUAAAUAAAGAAUGCGCACCCAUAGUCCAAGUGUUUUAUAUAAAGUUGUAAUAAAUGUUGUCAAUAUGUAAAUAUGUACAAAUAACGCGGCGAGCGUAAAGUUUGUGACUUUAUGCUCAUCACGUUAUAUGUAUAAUUCAUGCGACAAACAUCGACACACACAGUAGAACAAGCAUUAUUGUAAAAAGUAGUAAUAAAUGUUCUCAAUCUGUAAAUAUGUAAAUAUGUAUGUGCCAAUAACGCGGCGAGCAUAAAGAUCAUAAUCUUAAUGCUCGCCGCGUUGUAUAAUUCAUGCGACAAAUAUCGAUACACACAAUAGAACAAGCGUUAUUGUAAAAAUUAGUUAUAAGUGUUGUAAAUGUUGUAAAUAUGUACAAUUAACGCGGCGAGUGUAAAAUUCGAAAAAUUAUGCUCUGGGGAACGUUCCCAAAAUUCUGGCCCCAUUGCCAAGUUAAAUGGCAAUGCUUAUCUUUUGACCGAAGAAAUAGCCAGCCUUCAGGGUCACGUGUAGAAUCGAAUAGUUUACGUGCAAUCUCUUUAAAUACAGAAUGUGCACCCAUAGCCCAAGUGUUUUAUAUAAAGUUGUAAUAAUUGUUUUCAGUUUGUAAAUAAUUAUGUACAAUUAACGCAGCGAGCGUAGAGUUUAUAAUUUUAUGCUCGCCGCGUUAUAUAGUCCAUGCGACAAAUAUCGACACCCACAGUAGAACAAGCAAUUUGUAAAAAUAGCAAUAAGGUUUGUAAAUAUGUAAAUGUGCACAAUUAACGCGGCGAGCGUAAAGUUUACAAUUUUAUGCUCGCCGCGUUAUAUAGUCCAUGCGACAAAUAUCGACACCCACAGUAGAACAAGCAAUUUGUAAAAAUAGCAAUAAGGUUUGUAAAUAUGUAAAUGUGCACAAUAUAAUCCAUGCGACAUAUAUCGACACACACAUAUAGAACAAGCAUUUAUUUGUAAAAAUAUCUUAAAGGGUUGUAAAUAUAUGUACAUUUAACGCGGCGAGCGUAAAAUUCGAAAAAUUAUGCUCUGGCCGCAUUGCCAAGUUGAAUGGCAAUGCUUAUCUUUUGACUGAAGAAAUAGCCAGCCUUCUGGUCAUAUGUAGAAUCGAAUAGCUUACGUGCAAUCUAUUUAAAUAAAUAAUGUGCAGCCAUAGCCCAAGUGUUUCAUAUAAAGUAGUAAUCAAUGUUGUCAAUUUGUAAAUAAUUAUGUACAUUUAACGCGGCGAGCGUAAAGUUUACAAUUUUAUGCUCGCCGCGUUAUAUAAUCCAUGCGACAAAUAUCGACACCCACAGUAGAACAAGCAAUUUGUAAAAAUAGCAAUAAGGUUUGUAAAUAUGUAAAUGUGCACAAUUAACGCGGCGAGCGUAAAGUUUACAAUUUUAUGCUCGCCGCGUUAUAUAGUCCAUGCGACAAAUAUCGAAACACACAAUAGAACAAGCGUUUAUUUGUAAAAAGUAGUAAUAAAUAUUUUGUUUCUUGAUUCUUUGGAUUAUAUUAUUUUCGUGUUGGAGUCUUGAAGUGUGAAGCUGUUCCCCACAGCUGUAUGUCGUAUGUCCAUACUGGUUUGAAAAUAGAUUUGUGUAGUAAGAUUUUAUGUUCUAAAGAUAGCUGGGACUUCUCCACUGAACUCGCGACUCCAAUGAACCAGUACAAUUAUCGCAACUUUGUAAAAAGGAAAGUAUUGUAAAUAUGUACAAAUAACGCGGCGAGCGUAAAGUUUAUAAUUUUAUGCUCGUCGCGUUAUAUAAUUCAUGCGACAAACAUCGACACACACAGUAGAACAAGCAUUAUUGUAAAAAUUAGUAAUAAAUGUUCUCAAUCUGUAAAUAUGUAAAUAUGUGCCAAUAACGCGGCGAGCAUAAAGAUCAAAACUUAAUCUUAAUGCUCGCCGCGUUAUAUAAUUCAUGCGACAUAUAUCGACGCACACACAUAGGACACAAGCGUAAUUGUAUAAAGUAGUUAUAAAUAUUGUCAAUCUGUAAAUAUGUACAUUUAACGCGGCGAGCGUAAAAACCGAAAUAUUAUGCUCGCCGCGUUAUAUAAUUCAUGCGACAUUUAUCGACGCACACAUAUAGGAUACAAACGUAACUUAUAAAAGUAGUAAUAAAGUUGUCAACAUGUAAAUAUGUACAAUUAACGCGGCGAGCGUAGAGCUUAUAAUUUUAUGCUCGCUGCGUUAUAUUAUCCAAGCGACAAACAUCGACACACACACAUAGAGCAAGCGUUAUUGUAUAAAGUAGUUAUAAAUGUUGACAAUAUGUAAAUAUGUACGUAAAUAUUUAACGCGGCGAGCGUAAAAACCGAAAUUUUAUGCUCGCCGCGUUAUAUAAUUCAUGCGACAUAUAUCGACGCACACAUAUAGGAUACAAACGUAAUUUAUAAAAGUAGUAAUAAAGUUGUCAACAUGUAAAUAUGUACAGUUAACGCGGCGAGCGUAGAGUUUAGACAAACAUCGACACACACACAUAGAACAAGCGUUAUUGUAUAAAGUAGUAAUAAGUGUUGUCAAUAUGUAAAUAAUUAUAUACAUUUAACGCGGCGAGCGUAAAGUUUGUAAUUUUAUGCUCGCCGCGUUAUAUAAUCCAUGCGACAAAUAUCGAAACACACAAUAGAACAAGCAUUUACUGUGUAAAAAUAUAAAAGAGGAUUGUAAAUAUGUACAAUUAACGCGGCGAGCAUAAAGCUUAUAAUUUUAUGCUCGUCGCGUUAUAUAAUUCAUACGACAAACAUCGACACACACAAUAGAACAAGCAUUAAUGUAAAAAGUAGUAAUAAAUGUUGUCAAUAUGUAAAUACAUGUACAUUUAACGCGGCGAGCGUAAAGCUUAUAAUUUUAUGCUCGCCGCGUUAUAUAAUUCAUGCGACAAAUAUCGACACACCCAGUAGAACAAGCGUUAUUGUAAAAAUAUCGAUGAGCAUUGUAAAUAAUAAUAUGUAAAUAUAUACAAAUAACGCGGCGAGCGUAAAGUUUAUAACUUAAUGCUCGCCGCGUUAUAUAAUUCAUGCGACAAAUAUCGCCCCCCCUAUAGAACAAGCAUUAUUGUAAAAAUAUCAAUGAGCAUUGUAAAUAAUAAUAAUUAUGUAAAUAUAUACAAAUAACGCGGCGAGCGUAAAGUUUAUAACUUAAUGCUCGCCGCGUUAUAUAAUUCAUGCGACAUAUAUCGCCCCCCUAUAGAACAAGCAUUAUUGUAAAAAUAUCAAUGAGGAUUGUAAAUAAUAAUAUGUAAAUAUAUACAAAUAACGCGGCGAGCGUGAAGUUUAUAACUUAAUGCUCGCCGCGUUAUAUAAUUCAUGCGACAAAUAUCGCCCCCACUAUAGAACAAGCAUUAUUGUAAAAAUAUCAAUGAGGAUUGUAAAUAAUAAUAUGUAAAUAUAUACAAAUAACGCGGCGAGCGUGAAGUUUAUAACUUAAUGCUCGCCGCGUUAUAUAAUUCAUGCGACAAAUAUCGCCCCCCCUAUAGAACAAGCAUUAUUGUAAAAAUAUCAAUGAGGAUUGUAAAUAAUAAUAUGUAAAUAUAUACAAAUAACGCGGCGAGCGUAAAGUUUAUAACUUAAUGCUCGCCGCGUUAUAUAAUUCAUGCGACAAAUAUCGACACACCCAGUAGAACAAGCAUUAUUGUAAAAAUAUCAAUGAGGAUUGUAAAUAAUAAUAUGUAAAUAUAUACAAAUAACGCGGCGAGCGUAAAGUUUAUAACUUAAUGCUCGCCGCGUUAUAUAAUCCAUGCGACAAAUAUCGACACACCCAGUAGAACAAGCAUUAUUGUAAAAAUAUCAAUGAGGAUUGUAAAUAAUAAUAUGUAAAUAUAUACAAAUAACGCGGCGAGCGUAAAGUUUAUAACUUAAUGCUCGCCGCGUUAUAUAAUUCAUGCGACAAAUAUCCCCCCCCCUAUAGAACAAGCAUUAUUGUAAAAAUAUCAAUGAGGAUUGUAAAUAAUAAUAUGUAAAUAUAUACAAAUAACGCGGCGAGCGUGAAGUUUAUAACUUAAUGCUCGCCGCGUUAUAUAAUUCAUGCGACAUAUAUCGACGCACACAUAUGGAACAAGCGUUAAUAAAUUAGUAAUUUAUAUUUUAAGUGUUAAUAUAGAAUAUAGGUACUUUAAGUAGUAUAAUAAUAGAAAUGGAACUCGGCGAGUGUGAGGGUAUAUGAUACCCAGUUAGUAGAUAAAUAAUACUCAUAAAAAUUAUCACUUUAUCACGAACAAAGUGACAUAAUUAUGUACAGUAAAAUAUGACCAAUUGAUAAUUUAUAGGAGAUUAUCUUUAAUAGUGCUUUUCCACCAGAGAUGUGCUAUGCUACGUUGCUAUGGAUGCGUUUGGCUUCCACCAAUCAUAUUCAUUAGUAGACAUAGCUUAGUGCUGUUGGAAACGGGUUCAACUAAGCAAUGUUUUUAUACGGAAAAAUGCGUGCUUUAGAUGGCUUCCCUACUAUCGAUACAUCGCAUACUCGAUCUGCGCAUCUUCCUCGCACACCUACAUAGCUUAGUAUCAGUGGAAACGGUCACAUAGUUUCACAGCUUAGCUAUCUUCGUAGCAUAGCUACACAGCACAUCUCUGGUAGAAAAAGCAUCUUAAAUAUAAUCUUGAUAUUUUUUUAAAUUGCUAAUCGUGACAUAGCCGAGUUCGUACUAAUCUUAGAUCGAAUAUAUAACAUACUAAAAUACAUACAAACAUAUAUUUGUCAUAUAAACAUAAUAAUUAUU